rnacentral:rRNA from 1 species
ACGGAGGAUCCAAGCGUUAUCCGGAUUUAUUGGGUUUAAAGGGUGCGUAGGCGGAUCUUUAAGUCAGUGGUGAAAGUUUGCGGCUCAACGGUAAAAUUGCCAUUGAAACUGAAGAUCUUGAGUGCAAAUGAGGUAGGCGGAAUGUGUUGUGUAGCGGUGAAAUGCUUAGAUAUAACACAGAACACCGAUUGCGAAGGCAGCUUACUGGGAUGCAACUGACGCUGAGGCACGAAAGCGUGGGGAUCAAACAG